rnacentral:ncRNA from 2 species
CAACAUAAAGUGGGGAGAGGUGCCCUUCGGGGCUUAAUAGGGAAGACCGGUGAAACACCGGCGCGGUCCCGCCACUGUAACGGGGAGCAAAUUUGCAGCAGUACGGCUAACGUACGGGGUCACUGGAGCGCAAGCUUUGGGAAGACGCAAACGAGCGAUGAACCGGAGCCAGGAGAACUGCCUGUCCGGCGAUCACCAU